rnacentral:rRNA from 1 species
UACGAAGGGGGCUAGCGUUGUUCGGAAUUACUGGGCGUAAAGCGUAUGUAGGCGGACCGUUAAGUCGGGGGUGAAAUCCCGAGGCUCAACCUCGGAACUGCCUUCGAUACUGGCGAUCUUCGAGUCCGGGAGAGGUGAGUGGAACUCCGAGUGUAGAGGUGAAAUUCGUAGAUAUUCGGAAGAACACCAGUGGCGAAGGCGGCUCACUGGCCCGGUACUGACGCUGAGACCCGAAAGCCAGGGUAGCGAACCGG